UGUGUCAGUGCGUGCGUGUGUGCGUGCGCGCGAGAGGGGGGCGCGAACAUUUUUCUUGUAAAACAAAGGGGGGCCUAGCAAAAAAAGUUUGGGAACCACUGUGCUAAAGGAUGCUGGAUACAGAGGUGCCAUGUGACAGAGAGAGAAUGGAGGCCAGGAGGGGAGGGAGGUGGUGAGCGUCCAGGCAUGAGCUCUGGAGAAACCAGAUUGUCACGGCCCGUGGCUCGGCAUCCUGGGAGCUGUGGGAGGCUGCGGUGGCCACGCCCUCGGGCUGGGCCGCCUCCAAACCACCUGCGUCUCAUCUAAGGCAAUCACCGGAGGACUACUUCAGCCAGCUCGGGCGGCUUCUCCUCGCCAGUCUGUAAGUCUCCUUCCAGUGUGACCAGCAUUCAGCGUGGAAGCCGGUGGCCUGCCUGUCCUCCUGCCUGACUGCCUCCCUCCCUCCCUAAGGAUUCUCUCCCGGGCAUCACUCCCCUCCUAGCUCCACAGUCCUGCUCUACCUUUUCCCCACGGUCCCGAUUACGGCGCUCCUGGGCUCCACGCUCCUCGUUUCCCCCCGUGGCAUGAGCCUUAGUUUUCGUUUCCAAGCUUUGUUAAAAGAUUCCUCAGUUAAAUAAACACUUGUACAUAGUUCUGAGCUGCGGUGUGCUGAGUCUGCUUUGGGGUCCUGCUACCUGAACGCUCCGUGUUUUGUGACGCAGAUGUUGAGAAACUCAGAUGAGCGACUGGUUGUCAUAGCGAUGGUUGAGAACCUCUGACCCCUCCUGAGUUCAUGCUGUGACUGUUACACUCUGGUUUCCUUUCUUGCAUUCAUGCAGGCUGCAGGAUACAGACUGAGUCAUUUGUCAACAUUUCAAAUGUGUCACGAUUUGAAGUGAUGAAAAUGUAGAAACUGCAAAGCUGAACGCUCUCACUCUGUGACAGCUGUGACAGGAUCCAACGUAGAGGUGGAAAACCAGAGGAUGUUAAACAAACAAUAAACAAAUGAGAGAACUUUUUUUUUUAACUUCAUAAAAAAGAAGAAAAAAAACUUAAAACCUGAGUUUGUGUCCAAAUUGGGGUCAGCCUACAUCUGACUUUUAUCAGAAAGCACUUGCUUCCAUGUUGCCUCAGUCUGCAUGUCCUCCUUCACCACAGUCAUGCACUUUGUCUUUGGUCUCCUCUGUGUUCAGCAUCAUUUGUCUGACAUCUCUCUCUGUGUGUCCAAACCAUCUCUAGAGAGGAUGAUCAUUUCUGACCCUGUCAAAAAUCCCAGUAUAAAUUGUAGCAUUAAGCACCACAGUCAGAGCAAUUUGAGGAUUUUUUUCUGCAUUUGGAGCCUAUUUAUUUACAGAGAUAAUGAGCUGAAGAGAAACUUUACAUUCUUCAUGAGACACUAAAACUUCUGAAGCCUUUUCAGGCAAAGCAUGAAUAAAAAAGCAUUUGUCCUCCACUUCUACCCAAACAAUCUCCUCUGCUCUGCUUCUGUUUGUCCAUCUGUGCAACCGAUGUUUAAAGAAACAUGUUGGACAGACUGGAUAAGGCACAUUUAGAGAACACAUUUAAAACAAGACAACAAAAUAGUUUUUCAUGUUACUAAGAUUAAGAACUGUAUUUUAUGUAUGAGAGAAGAAGAAAACGUGUAAACAUGAAAAAACAAACAAACAACAAAACAGUUUUCCUCUUUGAAGCCAAGUUUCUAAAGAAGCUUUGGAGGAACCAUUUGAACCAGUUUGGUCCAUUAUUAAAACGGACGUUUAUUUGCCAGUCAUUCAACAUCACCACUUGUGUAUAACUCUGCUGAUUUUAUUCCCUUUGUGUCCAGGCUGAGAUUCCAGGUGUCUCCCUCAGCUCAUUUACUCCAAAUCAGAAGCAUCAGAUUUGUGGAGCGUGGAGACGCUCUGCCUGCCAGACACAGCUCAGGGCAAAGAAACAUGUCUCUCCUCCACAAUAUACAGGCCUGUAUCAUUUACUGUCUGUAUUUUAAUGUAGAAAUGAUCAAGUGUGAUCAAACUUUUCAAAUGAAAAAUAAUAUUUAAUGUCAAACAUUAACUAUUUAUUUUUUGUUACAUUUUAAAAGUUCAAACCUCAAAGACAUUAAGUUUACGAUCACAUAUGAUCAAGAAAAUCAACAAUUUUCACGUUUCAGAAACUGGAACCAGCUUUAAAUGUGACUAAAAUAACGAUAAAACAAUCAAUUCUCUGAUCAUUGACUAACUGAUGAAUCACUGCAUUUGACAACCCGCUACAGCAACUCCAGAAUAAAAGCACUAACCAGACCGAUGAAAGGUUUCACACAUGCUGAAUAUGAAGAGUAGUAGAAUUUAAACUCACAUGAUUA